GAGGGGUGAGACCUGAUGCCGAGCCGAUUGUGGUGAAGUGGAUGAUCCUAUGCUGUCGAGAAAAGCCUCUAGCGAGUGUCAUGGCGGCCCGUACCCUAAACCGACUCAGGUGGUCAGGUAGAGAAUACCGAGGCGUUCGGGUGAACUGUGGUUAAGGAACUCGGCAAAAUGCCCCCGUAACUUCGGGAGAAGGGGGGCCAGCUCUGGUGAUGAACCGCGCGUUCUGAGCUGGGGGUGGCCGCAGAGACCAGCGAGAAGCGACUGUUUACUAAAAACACAGGUCCGUGCGAAGCCGUAAGGCGAUGUAUACGGACUGACGCCUGCCCGGUGCUGGAACGUUAAGGGGACCGGUUAGCCGGCUUUCGGGUCGGCGAAGCUGAGAACUUAAGCGCCAGUAAACGGCGGUGGUAACUAUAACCAUCCUAAGGUAGCGAAAUUCCUUGUCGGGUAAGUUCCGACCUGCACGAAUGGCGUAACGACUUCUCGACUGUCUCAACCACAGGCCCGGUGAAAUUGCACUACGAGUAAAGAUGCUCGUUUCGCGCAGCAGGACGGAAAGACCCCGGGACCUUUACUACAGUUUGAUAUUGGUGUUCGGUUCGGCUUGUGUAGGAUAGCUGGGAGACUGUGAAGCCUUCACGCCAGUGAGGGUGGAGUCGCCGUUGAAAUACCAGUCUGGUCGUGCUGGAUGUCUAACCCGGGUCCGUGAUCCGGAUCGGGGACAGUGUCUGACGGGUAGUUUAACUGGGGCGGUUGCCUCCUAAAGGGUAACGGAGGCGCCCAAAGGUUCCCUCAGCCUGGUUGGCAAUCAGGUGUUGAGUGUAAGUGCACAAGGGAGCUUGACUGUGAGACCGACGGGUCGAGCAGGGACGAAAGUCGGGACUAGUGAUCCGGCGGUGGCUGGUGGAAGCGCCGUCGCUCAACGGAUAAAAGGUACCCCGGGGAUAACAGGCUGAUCUUCCCCAAGAGUCCAUAUCGACGGGAUGGUUUGGCACCUCGAUGUCGGCUCGUCGCAUCCUGGGGCUGGAGUCGGUCCCAAGGGUUGGGCUGUUCGCCCAUUAAAGCGGUACGCGAGCUGGGUUUAGAACGUCGUGAGACAGUUCGGUCCCUAUCCGCUGUGCGCGUAGGAGUCUUGAGAAGGGCUGUCCCUAGUACGAGAGGACCGGGACGGACGAACCUCUGGUGUGCCAGUUGUUCUGCCAAGGGCAUGGCUGGUUGGCUACGUUCGGGAGGGAUAACCGCUGAAAGCAUCUAAGCGGGAAGCCUGCUUCGAGAUGAGGACUCCCACCCACUUGAUGGGGUAAGGCUCCCAGUAGACGACUGGGUUGAUAGGCCGGAUCUGGAAGC
rnacentral:rRNA from 1 species